rnacentral:rRNA from 1 species
GAUGAACGCUGGCGGCGUGCCUAAUACAUGCAAGUCGAGCGAACGGACGAGAAGCUUGCUUCUCUGAUGUUAGCGGCGGACGGGUGAGUAACACGUGGAUAACCUACCUAUAAGACUGGGAUAACUUCGGGAAACCGUAGCUAAUACCGGAUAAUAUUUUGAACCGCAUGGUUCAAAAGUGAAAGACGGUCUUGCUGUCACUUAUAGAUGGAUCCGCGCUGCAUUAGCUAGUUGGUAAGGUAACGGCUUACCAAGGCAACGAUGCAUAGCCGACCUGAGAGGGUGAUAGGCCACACUGGAACUGAGACACGGUCCAGACUCCUGCGGGAGGCAGCAGUAGGGAAUCUUCCGCAAUGGGCGAAAGCCUGACGGAGCAACGCCGCGUGAGUGAUGAAGGUCUUCGGAUCGUAAAACUCUGUUAUUAGGGAAGAACAUAUGUGUAAGUAACUGUGCACAUCUUGACGGUACCUAAUCAGAAAGCCACGGCUAACUACGUG